GCUUUAUUGUUGAAAUGUUUUUAUCUUUAGGCGAUGUUAAAUAGAAACGUUGUAAUAAUUACAUUGGGGUGAUGAGAAAAUAAUAAAACUUUUCUUUUUUUAACAAUAAUUUUUGGUUAAACGAUCCUUUUUUAGAGAUUAUAAGUUUAAGU
rnacentral:rRNA from 1 species